UACGGGGGGGGCAAGCGUUGUUCGGAAUUACUGGGCGUAAAGGGCUCGUAGGCGGCCAACUAAGUCAGACGUGAAAUCCCCAGGCUCAACCUGGGAACUGCGUCUGAUACUGGUUGGCUUGAAUCCGGGAGAGGGAUGCAGAAUUCCAGGUGUAGCGGUGAAAUGCGUAGAUAUCUGGAGGAAUACCGAUGGCGAAGGCAGGUCUCUGGGCUGACACUGACGCUCAGGCACGAAAGCGUGGGGAGCAAACAGG
rnacentral:rRNA from 1 species